rnacentral:lncRNA from 1 species
GAAAAGUGAAUCUAAGAGAUCUAGCAUUCUGCAGAAAAGUACUGGAGAUGACUCAGGACUGAAAAUGAUCAUGAAGCCCUUUGCAAAUAUCAAAGUGGUGAUGAAACAGUCAUGAACUUUGACCAGAAGCCGUGUUUUGUGGGAUUGCCGCUUUAAUCGCUCCUGUUCAUCAUUAGGACUGCAGCUGGAGUGUGGAAGGAGGGACUCCAAAUAUAUAAGAAGAUGCUACCACACCCUGGGAGAUUGGAUUCCCCACUGCGCUGGCUUUCUCAAGCUCUGUGGAAUGUGAUGUUGGCUGGAACUUAUCAUGAAGAGCUUUGCUGUAAAACAGAUCUGGGGUAAAGUGGGUCUUAAAAAUCCUUUCUCUAUACAUCCAUGUAGAUAGAGAUCAUCUCCAUUAACAGAAGAGGGAAUGAUGCCAUUCUUAUAAAGAAGCUGUACUGUGGGCACAUUUAUUCCUAAGUCAAUAGUAGCCAUUUUAACUAUGAAAAGGAUCUGCCCAGAUGAAAGAGGGGCUGCCUGUGGAGCACAGCUAGAUGGGGGAAGCAAGG